rnacentral:rRNA from 1 species
GAUGAACGCUAGCGGCAGGCUUAACACAUGCAAGUCGAGGGGUAUAAGUCUUCGGAUUUAGAGACCGGCGCACGGGUGCGUAACGCGUAUGCAAUCUACCUUUCACAAAGGGAUAGCCCAGAGAAAUUUGGAUUAAUACCUUAUAGUAUAUAUGAAUGGCAUCAUUUAUAUAUUAAAGAUUUAUCGGUGAAAGAUGAGCAUGCGUCCCAUUAGCUAGUUGGUAUGGUAACGGCAUACCAAGGCUACGAUGGGUAGGGGUCCUGAGAGGGAGAUCCCCCACACUGGUACUGAGACACGGACCAGACUCCUACGGGAGGCAGCAGUGAGGAAUAUUGGACAAUGGGCGCAAGCCUGAUCCAGCCAUGCCGCGUGCAGGAUGACGGUCCUAUGGAUUGUAAACUGCUUUUGUACAGGAAGAAACACCUCUACGUGUAGAGACUUGACGGUACUGUAAGAAUAAGGAUCGGCUAACUCCGUGCCAGCAGCCGCGGUAAUACGGAGGAUCCAAGCGUUAUCCGGAAUCAUUGGGUUUAAAGGGUCCGUAGGCGGGCCAGUAAGUCAGUGGUGAAAUCUCCCGGCUCAACCGGGAAAUUGCCAUUGAUACUGCUGGUCUUGAAUUACCAGGAAGUAACUAGAAUAUGUAGUGUAGCGGUGAAAUGCUUAGAGAUUACAUGGAAUACCAAUUGCGAAGGCAGGUUACUACUGGUGGAUUGACGCUGAUGGACGAAAGCGUGGGUAGCGAACAGGAUUAGAUACCCUGGUAGUCCACGCCGUAAACGAUGGAUACUAGCUGUUGGGUUGCAAGACUCAGUGGCUAAGCGAAAGUGAUAAGUAUCCCACCUGGGGAGUACGUUCGCAAGAAUG